rnacentral:rRNA from 1 species
GACGAACGCUGGCGGCGUGCUUAACACAUGCAAGUCGAACGGAAAGGCCCUGCUUUUGUGGGGUGCUCGAGUGGCGAACGGGUGAGUAACACGUGAGUAACCUGCCCUUGACUUUGGGAUAACUUCAGGAAACUGGGGCUAAUACCGGAUAGGAGCUCCUGCUGCAUGGUGGGGGUUGGAAAGUUUCGGCGGUUGGGGAUGGACUCGCGGCUUAUCAGCUUGUUGGGGGGGUAGGGGCUUACCAAGGCUUUGACGGGUAGCCGGCCUGAGAGGGUGACCGGCCACAUUGGGACUGAGAUACGGCCCAGACUCCUACGGGAGGCAGCAGUGGGGAAUAUUGCACAGUGGGCGGAAGCCUGAUGCAGCAACGCCGCGUGCGGGAUGACGGCCUUCGGGUUGUAAACCGCUUUCGCCUGUGACGAAGCGUGAGUGACGGUAAUGGGUAAAGAAGCACCGGCUAACUACGUG